UACGAAGGGGGCUAGCGUUGCUCGGAAUUACUGGGCGUAAAGCGCACGUAGGCGGGUCGCUAAGUCGGGGGUGAAAUCCUGGAGCUCAACUCCAGAACUGCCUUCGAAACUGACGAUCUUGAGUUCGGGAGAGGUGAGUGGAACUGCGAGUGUAGAGGUGAAAUUCGUAGAUAUUCGCAGGAACACCAGUGGCGAAGGCGACUCACUGGCCCGAUACUGACGCUGAGGUGCGAAAGCGUGGGGAGCAAACAGG
rnacentral:rRNA from 1 species